UGUGGGGUGUGAUUGCGGGUGAGAGCGUGAGUGUGAGGUGUUUGUGUGAGUGUGAGGGGGUGUGUGAGGCGCCCGCCAGCCAGUCCCUGCUUUUCCCCGUCCCCUACACGUUGAUCUUAUUCGAUCGGCCCCGGGCCGGGCCGCACCGGGCCGGGCCGGGCCGAGGUGAGAAGAAAUGGCGGCGCGAAGCCCCCUCGGGCGCUGUGCGCGGCCGGCGGCGGGCGGGAUGAGUCGAUCAGAUAGGCGAGGCCGCGGCCCGUGAGCGCCCUGCGAUUCUGACCCGC